AUUGAACGCUGGCGGCAGGCCUAACACAUGCAAGUCGAGCGGAUGAGUGGAGCUUGCUCCAUGAUUCAGCGGCGGACAGGUGAGUAAUGCCUAGGAAUCUGCCUGGUAGUGGGGGACAACGUUUCGAAAGGAACGCUAAUACCGCAUACGUCCUACGGGAGAAAGUGGGGGAUCUUCGGACCUCACGCUAUCAGAUGAGCCUAGGUCGGAUUAGCUAGUUGGUGAGGUAAAGGCUCACCAAGGCGACGAUCCGUAACUGGUCUGAGAGGAUGAUCAGUCACACUGGAACUGAGACACGGUCCAGACUCCUACGGGAGGCAGCAGUGGGGAAUAUUGGACAAUGGGCGAAAGCCUGAUCCAGCCAUGCCGCGUGUGUGAAGAAGGUCUUCGGAUUGUAAAGCACUUUAAGUUGGGAGGAAGGGCAGUAAGUUAAUACCUUGCUGUUUUGACGUUACCGACAGAAUAAGCACCGGCUAACUCUGUGCCAGCAGCCGCCGUAAUAC
rnacentral:rRNA from 1 species